rnacentral:tRNA from 1 species
GGAUUUAGUUUAAUGGUAGAACAGAAGUCUCCAAAACUUUUAGUGAGAGUUCGAUUCUUUCAAUCC